rnacentral:rRNA from 1 species
AUUGAACGCUGGCGGCAGGCUUAACACAUGCAAGUCGAGCGAGCGGCGGACGGGUGAGUAAUGUCUGGGAAACUGCCUGAUGGAGGGGGAUAACUACUGGAAACGGUAGCUAAUACCGCAUACCAUCAUAUGUGCCCAUGUGGGAUGAGCUAGUAGGUGGGGUAAUGGCUCACCUAGGCGACGAUCCCUAGCUGGCCUGAGAGGAUGACCAGCCACACUGGAACUGAGACACGGCCCAGACGCCUACGGGAGGCAGCAGGGGGGAAUAUUGCACAAGGGGCGAAAGCCUGAUGCAGCCACGCCGCGUGUGUGAAGAAGGUCUUCGGGUUGUAAAGCACUUUCAUCGGGGAGGCGUUACUUGCAGAAGAAGCACCGGCUAACUCCGUGCCAGCAGCCGCGGUAAUUC